UGGGGUAUUAGCUCUGACCUUAGCUACAAAAUGCAAUCUAACAAAGUACUUAGCUUAAGAGUUAUUCAAGUAAGGCACAGCUUACUUGAAACAGGAUACAACCUUAAAUAACGGGUAAACGAUAAACCUAUUGCCUAAGUAGGCCUAAAAGCAGCCACCUUUAAAAAAGCGUCAAAGCUUAGUCACUUCAUGCCUCAAAUUCCUAUUUAAUAUCUGAACCCUCUACCCCUAUCAAGUAAUUUUAUACUUCUAUAAAAGAUAUUAUGCUAGAACUAGUAACAAGAAAAUGCCUUCUCCUAAAUGUAAGCAUAAACCAGAAUGGACACCCCACUGGUAAUCAACGUAAAUGCACCUUUUAUAGCAACGCUAACAAGAAAAACCUAUUAACUUAAACGUUAACCUAACACUAGAACAUUCCAGGAAAGAUUAAAAGAGAAAGAAGGAACUCGGCAAAAUUUAGCCCCGCCUGUUUACCAAAAACAUCGCCUCUUGAAAAAUAUAAGAGGUCCAGCCUGCCCAGUGACAAAGUUCAACGGCCGCGGUACCCUAACCGCGCGAAGGUAGCAUAAUCACUUGUUCUUUAAAUAGGGACUAGUAUCAAUGGCAUCACGAGGGCUGCACUGUCUCCUUUCUCCAAUCAGUGAAACUGAUCUCCCCGUGAAGAAGCGGGGAUUUUGAUAUAAGACGAGAAGACCCCAUGGAGCUUCAAGCAACGAAUUUACCUUUAACUCGUAUUUCUACUAAUUUCAAAAGCCUAAAUUCUAGCUUUUGGUUGGGGGGACCGCGGAGUAUAACCCAACCUCCGCAACUAACGGGCUUUGCCCUAAUCCAUGAGCCACACCUCUAAGAAUCAAUAAAUUGAUGCCUUUGACCCGAAAACUCGAUCAAUGGACCAAGUUACCCUGGGGAUAACAGCGCGAUCUACUUUGAGAGCCCCUAUCGACAAGUAGGCUUACGACCUCGAUGUUGGAUCAGGGUAUCCCAGUGGUGCAGCCGCUACUAAAGGUUCGUUUGUUCAACGAUUAAAACCCUACGUGAUCUGAGUUCAGACCGGAGA
rnacentral:rRNA from 1 species